GAUGAACGCUGGCGGCGUGCCUAAUACAUGCAAGUCGAGCGAACAGAUGAGGAGCUUGCUCCUCUGACGUUAGCGGCGGACGGGUGAGUAACACGUGGAUAACCUUCCUAUAAGACUGGGAUAACUUCGGGAAACCGGAGCUAAUACCGGAUAAUAUAUUGAACCGCAUGGUUCAAUAGUGAAAGACGGUUUUGCUGUCACUUAUAGAUGGAUCCGCGCCGCAUUAGCUAGUUGGUAAGGUAACGGCUUACCAAGGCAACGAUGCGUAGCCGACCUGAGAGGGUGAUCGGCCACACUGGAACUGAGACACGGUCCAGACUCCUACGGGAGGCAGCAGUAGGGAAUCUUCCGCAAUGGGCGAAAGCCUGACGGGGCAACGCCGCGUGAGUGAUGAAGGUCUUCGGAUCGUAAAACUCUGUUAUUAGGGAAGAACAAAUGUGUAAGUAACUAUGCACGUCUUGACGGUACCUAAUCAGAAAGCCACGGCUAACUACGUG
rnacentral:rRNA from 1 species